GCCUCUUUGGCCCAGUGGUAAGGCGUCGCUCUCGUAAAGCGAAGAUCGGUGGUUCGAAUCCGCCAAGGGGCU
rfam:Rhizophagus irregularis DAOM 197198w jcf7180003190319, whole genome shotgun sequence.